UACGUAGGCAGCGAGCGUUGUUCGGAAUUACUGGGCGUAAAGAGUGUGUAGGCGGUGUUCCCAGUCUGUUGUGAAAUCUCCCGGCUUAACUGGGAGGGUGCAGCGGAAACUAGUAUGCUAGAGGGUGGGAGAGGUAAGCGGGAAUUCCUGGUGUAGCGGUGAAAUGCGUAGAUAUCAGGAGGAACACCUGUGGUGUAGACAGCUUACUGGACCACUUCUGACGCUGAGACACGAAAGCGUGGGUAGCAAACAGG
rnacentral:rRNA from 1 species